rnacentral:rRNA from 1 species
UACGUAGGGGGCUAGCGUUGUCCGGAAUCAUUGGGCGUAAAGCGCGUGUAGGCGGUCCGGUAAGUCCGCUGUGAAAGUCGAGGGCUCAACCCUCGAAUGCCGGUGGAUACUGUCGGGCUUGAGUACGGGAGAGGCGAGUGGAAUUCCUGGUGUAGCGGUGAAAUGCGUAGAUAUCAGGAGGAACACCGAUGGCGAAGGCAGGUCUCUGGGCUGACACUGACGCUCAUGCACGAAAGCGUGGGGAGCAAACAGG